UUCUAUCGUUUUAGCUCAAAAAAAAAAAAAAAAAACAAUAGCUUCGGACGCGGACAGAAAGCGUUGUGAUCUCCGAUGGCAGUGGCAAUGGAAGUUUGCCGUUGCCGAUCUGUGUUAAGAAACGUGAAUUUCAGAGGUUGGGAUCCAAACCCAAACCCCCUUUUUGGACAUCAGAACCCCAAAAUCCAUUGAUAUCAAACAACGGCAUGCGUCGAGCCGCAGAGGGUUUUAUCAAUUUGGGCAAAUCUUCGUCAAACAUGGGAAAGUGAUAAAGAACGCUUUUUCUUUGAAGCAUUUCAUGUGGAUCUUGUCUUCUUCGAUGCGAUUCUCGUUGUCAUAAUUGGUGUACUCUUUCAUUUCUUGGGUGUCUCGCCACUUGAAACACAUCUUGGUAUCAUCUCACUUUUAAUAGUGGCUACAAUUGUCUAUAUCAUUGUAAAUUUGUUGAUAAAAGUACAACCGCAAGAUGCAGAUGCUGCCUACACUACAAGAAAAUUGAUUUGUUUCGACCCACAUUAUUUGAGGGUUCACAAAACACCGUGGAAAUAAAUGCUAAUUAAUGUGCCAGGCCUGAUUUAAAGCAACCUUAUUUUGUGGGUCACAAAUUUUUAGAAGAAUCCUUGAAAUAAACUACUCCAUACC